GUGAGGAAUAUUGGUCAAUGGACGAGAGUCUGAACCAGCCAAGUCGCGUGAAGGAAGACGGUUCUAUGAAUUGUAAACUUCUUUUGUGCAGGAAUAAAGUGGGUUACGUGUAACCUUUUGUAUGUACUGUACGAAUAAGGAUCGGCUAACUCCGUGCCAGCAGCCGCGGUAAUACGGAGGAUCCGAGCGUUAUCCGGAUUUAUUGGGUUUAAAGGGUGCGUAGGUGGAUUGAUAAGUCAGCGGUGAAAGUUUGCAGCUUAACUGUAAAAUUGCCGUUGAAACUGUCGGUCUUGAGUGCAAAUGAGGUAGGCGGAAUGUGUUGUGUAGCGGUGAAAUGCUUAGAUAUAACACAGAACUCCGAUUGCGAAGGCAGCUUACUGGGAUGCAACUGACACUGAUGCACGAAAGCGUGGGUAUCAAACAGGAUUAGAUACCCCGGUAGUCC
rnacentral:rRNA from 1 species